UGACUGUUUUGUGUCAUUCCUGGCUCUAACUUUUCCCUUCCUUCCCGAACAGACGCUGGUGACUGUUUUGGGCUGGGCACUGUCGUCGAAGGUAUGUUCAGCUAUGACAGCCCAAGGACAGCUACUGAGGACAUUUGCCUGCUUUUGAAGCUGCACACCGUUUCUGAAUUCUCCGCAGCGCUGAGGCUUAUCUCCGGGCGCCACACCGUCUUAUCUGAAGUUUUCUUCCUUUCGUCUUCCUGAGAAGAUUUAUAACCCAGAAAAGCCACGCCAUGAUUUCUGCUUCCAAAAUUGUAUUCUGGUUGUUUUAUUUUGCUCCCUGUCCUCCGUUGGCUUCGAGGAUGCUGUUGAGCAAUCUACAAAUUCCCAGAGUGUCUGUGACUUUGUAGGCACCGUUGGCCGUUAUCUUUGCUGUGUCUUUUAUAGAAUGUUCAUAAAUUCCAGGUUAUCACAGCUUUGUAAAGUUCUGUUACAGGCAAGCUAGGGACAGAUGCAGAUAGGAGAGAGGGACCAGAGGUAUAGUCCUGUAAUGUCACAGAGAAUUAUACUUUCAGUCUAGAAUGGGGAAUAGGAAAAAAGGCUUUAUAAGUUACCUUUUUUUUUUUUUUUUU
rnacentral:lncRNA from 1 species